UAGCAGUUGAAGCUGCCAGCAUGAUCUAAACUUCCCUCUUGGUCAAGGAAAGAUCAGAUCAUGUGGUAGCUUCACCUGUUG